GACCCAGUGGUGUAAUGCUCAACACGCCAGCUUUCAUUGUGGCCAUGAACAACCGUUGCGUAAGCUGGAGCUCCCCGUUCGACUCGGGGCUGGGUCA